rnacentral:rRNA from 1 species
GAUGAACGCUGACAGAAUGCUUAACACAUGCAAGUCGAUGGGGCAGUGGUGCUUGCACCAUGGUAACCAUGGCGGACGGGUGAGUAACGCGUAAGGAACUUACAUGCGGGACCGGGAUAACAGCAGGAAACUGCUGACAAGACCGGAUAAGGUCAUUUAGCUGCAUAGCUUAGUGAUGAAAGGAGACGCCUGCGGAGAGCCUUGCGUCCUAUUAGCUAGUUGGAGGGGUAACGGCCCACCAAGGCGAAGAUAGGUAGCCGGCCUGAGAGGGUGGACGGCCACAAGGGGACUGAGAUACGGCCCUGACUCCUACGGGAGGCAGCAGUGGGGAAUAUUGGACAAUGGGGGCAACCCUGAUCCAGCAAUUCUGUGUGAACGAAGACGGUUUUCGGAUUGUAAAGUGCUUUCAGCAGGGAAGAAGGAAGUGACGGUACCUGCAGAAGAAGCGACGGCUAAAUACGUG